UUUCAACGAAAUUGUUUGGUGUUCAAUUUAUUUAGGUUCGCUAAAUCUUAAUUUUAAACAAAAAAUAAUACUUAAAUAAAGGAAACGUGAAUACGGUUAAGCCUUCAUGCAAAUGUUAAUGCACUUUUAAUUUACAGGCCAAGAAACUGAAAAAAUAAUAAACUUCCGGUUGUAGGUGUAGGUGUAGUUCAUAUUUGUAGAGCACAAUUGAAAAAUAGCAGCUACCCGCACUGGGAAUUAAAAACUAUAAUGGACGAUACAAACGAUUUUAGCGAGCUCAAUUCUGAUGUAUGAUAAUUCAACAACAAUUAUAAUAUUUACAUACAUUAUGAAUAUUUCAAUAAAGCUCUUUCACCUUUUAAUUAAACCGAUUGGGUAUCAAUGAUAUCAGGAAUAUCCAUACAGAGAGCACAUCAUUUGGAUAGAUGUGAAUAUGCGUCGCUAAGCAAAACUCAACACGUUUAUCCGAAUUUAAAUGUAUGCCAGUGGACUUGAUGCGUUCAGAAAUCGAUGUGAGGUUCGUGUAAGGAAAGUUGAGGGCAUAACCAUAGAUCUGAAAAUAUGAAUAAAAGUUUUCUAGAAGAAGCAUAAUGAAAUAUUACUCAAAAUAUAAUUGUUGUAAAGUAGAAUAACCUGGGAUCAAAUAAAACUUUAUCGAAGUGUCACAAGUAUUGUUCAAAAA